rnacentral:rRNA from 1 species
UGGAUUCAAUGCCUACCGGUAUGUUGGGACACCUUUGCCAGAUGGCGUCGGUCGCCCGCAGCGAUUCACUUCGUUUGCGGUGUCGUUCCCGGCGAUCACUCGGCCUUGUGGUGGAUACCUGGCUCCGGAGGAGUGCACUUCCUCCCUAGUAGAAACGUCGCGACCCGCUGGGUGCCGGUCCAAGGCCCAGGAUGGCAGCCCGCGUGUCCUGUGGGGGUUCUCACAGGCUUGCGGACACUUGGUGACCCGGCCGGCUGCCCGGCGGUAUGAUCAGAGGAGUCGAUCCGCUGAAAGUUAAACACUAUGGUUGUGUGGCGUCCGGCCCGGCGCCGAGGCGUGCGGGGAUAUAGGUGCAAACCGGGGGUGUCCGUGCGAAGCACGGCCCCGGCCCCGCUGCGUCCUCGGAUACGUCGGUGACCUCGGACUGGAUCAGCACUCCUGUCUGCGACGCCCACCUUCGGAUGGUCUCCCGC